rnacentral:rRNA from 1 species
UACGUAGGGGGCGAGCGUUGUCCGGAGUUACUGGGCGUAAAGGGCAUGCAGGCGGUCCUUCGCGUUUGCAGUGACAGUGCUCGGCUUAACCGAGCAAGGUCUGCGAAGACGGGAGGACUUGAGGGCUUUAGAGGGACACGGAAUUCCGGGUGGAGUGGUGAAAUGCGUAGAGAUCCGGAGGAACACCAAAGGCGAAGGCAGUGUCCUGGGGAGUCACUGACGCUCAGAUGCGAAAGCUAGGGGAG